rnacentral:rRNA from 1 species
UACGAAGGGGGCUAGCGUUGUUCGGAAUUACUGGGCGUAAAGGGCGCGUAGGUGGCUUUGAUAGUCGGGUGUGAAAUGCCUGGGCUUAACCCAGGAACUGCACUCGAAACUCCAAGGCUUGAGUGUGGGAGAGGUUGGUGGAAUUCCCAGUGUAGAGGUGAAAUUCGUAGAUAUUGGGAAGAACACCGGUGGCGAAGGCGGCCAACUGGACCACAACUGACACUGAGGCGCGAAAGCGUGGGGAGCAAACAGG